AUACGAAAGGUGCAAGCGUUGUUCGGAUUUACUGGGCGUAAAGAGAGUGUAGGUUGUUUAUUAAGUCGGAUGUGAAAUCCCGGGGCUCAACCUCGGAACUGCAUUCGAUACUGAUAGGCUAGAGUUUGGGAGGGGUAAGCGGAAUUCCGUGUGUAGCAGUGAAAUGCGUAGAUAUACGGAGGAACACCUGAGGCGAAGGCGGCUUACUGGACCAAUACUGACACUGAGACUCGAAAGCGUGGGUAGCAAACAGAAUUAGAAACCCUAGUAGUCC
rnacentral:rRNA from 1 species